AUCAACUUGCGGAUUUCGUGACAUUGGGAAUAUAUGCAUAGAGGUUGGCACACGUUUUAUUCUUGAGUCUCCGGUAAAAACUUUGGGGCACUCUUUGAAGUUCUUUGUGUUGGUUGAAUAGAUGAUUCUGAGAUUGUGUGAUGGAUAUCGUAUAAUCAUGCCCACGGAUACUUGAGGUGACAAUGGAGUAUCUAGGUGACAUUAGGGUCUUGGUUGAUGUGUGUCUUAAGGUGUUAUUCUAGUACGAACUCUAGG
rnacentral:lncRNA from 1 species